rnacentral:lncRNA from 1 species
CGAAAAGUAAUAUAGUUUUUUUUCUGAGCCUCCCAGUGCUGACACUUCUGUCAUUCAUUCAGCUGCGCCAAAAUGGAUGAGUCUUUCCUUGCUGCCUUGAGGCAAAGAGGGAUACCUGAUGCAAACCUUGAGAAAAUGUCACAGGACAAGGUGGACCAAGAUGUUGUCAGUAUGAUGGAUGAGGAAACCCUGUCAAAGUACAUUCCUCAUUUUGGAGACCGUGUGUUUGCCAAAAAUUGGACAGGCUCAGCCUCAGCAGAAGCUGGGAGCAAUGCAGAUAAGAAAAAUAAACGUAUAGAACGCUUGCGAGGUAAAAUGAAACUUCCAAGCUCUGGCCAAGCAACAGCAAGCUCAUCAAAUCAUACUUGCUCUGGACCUGGUUUGGGAAACAAGAAUGCUGCACGAAAAACAAGAAAAAUAGAACUGGGUUGGAUGAAUUAUCAAGAUGGUUAUUUCAGGCAGGUUAGACGACCAACUGGUGGGGGCACAAGAGAGAUCAUUGCCAGGAAAGAUGACACUUUGAACAAAAUUCUAGGAGAUGGGAAGAAAAUAUUUUUUCCCAAGGGUAAAUCUUCAAAAGGAAGAGUUGAGGACUUUGACUUCACACUUUGUGUUAUGGGCUCAGAGGAGCCCUUAGAUUGCACACUUACAGUUGGGGCGUUGUACGAUACAACUCAUCAUAAAAUUCUCAGGUUGUACAUUUGCUCAAAGAAAAGUGAUGAUUCAGAUUUAAGUGACUCAUCAGCACAAGCCAAGUCACCAGAGAGAUCCCAGACAGCAGAGGCUCCCACCUCACCAGAUCUUUCCCCCAAAUCUUCCUCUCAUACCAUGUCACCUGAGUGCUCUUGGAGCUCUCUGUCCUUCGACGGGCCUUUGUCUAGCUCCAGCCCUUUCAUGCAUGCAGGUGUACCAUCAACUUUGAUUUCGAAUUCUACCCCAACUUCUCUACAAACGACAUCUAAACCAUCUAUGGCCCAGAUAUUUAGUCUAUCUCCUGAUAAUGAAGUUAUUUUCCUUGAUGAUGAUGGAAACAUUUCCUUGGAUGUUCUCUGUGACACACUGAUUUAUCAGCCUAUCCAUGCUUCUGAGCAGCAGGCAUCAGAUAAUGUCAUUGAACUUCAAGUGGAUUCCAACCCUGCCUUCCAGUACCAGAGAUUGCAGAAUAAUCCAGCAAGUGAUAGAAAUCCUGAGAAUCCUGAAUCCAUGACUGAAGUACAAAGUUCCAACCUUGUGCCCACAAACAGUAAAUGUGACAACUCCGUUGAUAGUCAUUCAGCACCACCUGAAGUCAUAAAUCAGGAAGAAAGUUCAAACCACACCUCAACAACCAGCUCAUCUGUACAUUUCUAUGAGAAUCCAGAGAACAUAGUUGAGAAGCAGACCAUUAUCAUUCGCACAGUGCAUUGUCUUUCUGACAUGAUUGAGGCAUUUUCAGAUGAGAAUAUACUACAUGCCGAUAUUGGAUUUAGGCGUGUGCUGGAAAAUGGUGAGUUGGAGAAUGGAGUUGGAAGUGGGGUUGUUAUGGACUGUCUCACUGAUUUCUGGAGCAAAUUCUAUGCAUCAAGAACCUCUGGAACCACAUACAAGAUCCCUACAUUGCAUCAUGCCUUUCAAGAAAGGGAGUGGAAAGCUGUUGCCCGUAUUCUGGCUUUUGGAUGGCAGAGAUUUGAAUACAUACCAGUUCAGCUGGCUCCACCAUUUCUUAAGGAAGCCCUUUCCAUAUCUUCAAAAAACUGCAGCCUUAUGGAAGUAUUUUUCAACUACAUCAGCCCCACUGAGAAGGAUGCACUUACAGAGGCUUUGACUGAUUUCAAGGGAGCUGAUAUGGAAGAGCUUCUCACCAUUCUGAGCAGUCACAACUGCACCAUUCUACCAACAGAACAAAAUUUACCAAUAUUGUUGAAAGAAAUCGCACACAAGGAGUUGGUACAACAGCCAUCAUUUAUAAUAAAGUGCUGGAAGCCAGUCCUGGAAACUAUUGGAGAGUCUUUGAGUGGUGGAGUGCUGGACAAGAUACUUGCUAAUCUUCAACCAAAGGCAAGAAGUAUCACAAAAUACAUUCAGUUUCCAAACUCAAUGUCACCAGCAGAGAGGACCACCUCUCUUCAUCUUCUGAGAUUUGUCAGAGAAAUUGAUCAGAGAGAGAUUGGACAGUUCCUUAGGUUCUGCACAGGGUCUGACCUUUUUCUGUCAAAAACCAUCAAGGUUACAUUCACCGACAUGUCUGAGUUCUCCCGAAGGCCUGUGGCCCACACCUGCACUUGUGGACUGGAACUUGCAUGCAACUACAGCACUUAUUCAGAAUUCAGGUCAGAGUUUCUGUCUGUGUUGCAAAGUGGAAUAUGGGUGAUGGAUAUGGACUAAAAAUAGUAUGUGAAGUGAAGACCUCAGAAUGGUCAUGGCUGUGAUGUACUUAAGAAAUUGCACUGAUCUUUAGCAAUGAACCUGCACAUGUAUACAUCCAUCAGGGAGCGAAACAUAGAUUAUACACUUAACUACAAUCAGCCACUAGGCGUCAGUAUUUCAACAGUGUCAUGAGGACCAUAAAUGCUACAAACAUUACACUAAGGGCUAAGUAUUUCAAAGACUACAACAUAUUGUUCUUAGAGGAGCGAUGUUGUGUUUGUUGUAAUUUGUAAAUGUUGUAUUUCUAGAGCAUUUUGUAUACAGUAUAUUUGUUUAGCAUCCACAAAGGUGGAACAGUGGCUUAACCAAAAGCCAACAAUGUCCCAUUAACUUCAAAAUGUUACAUGCUUGAAGAUACUUUACAGAGAUAAUGCAUUUUGAUAAAAUUGUGCAGUUUUGCACAAAAAGUUGAAGUUGUUUACAGAAGGGUUAAGAAACUUACAAGUUAUUUUGACUGAACCUAUAAUGUAGCAGAUAGCAAAAUCUGAAGGACACAUGAGAUCACUUACAUGAUUUGAGAGGGUUUUCACUACAAAGGUGGCUUAAACACUUAUAAUUACAUAAUAAUAUACAUAUACAUACAUUACAUUCCCACUCACAGAAAUAAACAGAAACUCAAAACACUCAUUACUCAAAUGUAACCGUGUAGUUCAUUCAUUUAAAUAUAAUUUGUAUGUAUCAAUGUUGUAGUAGAAGGAGGUAGAUUUUUCUUUUCAAUUUAUGAUCUCUUUAAAAUUCAAGGCACUGUGGAAAAAAAAGUCACACUUGAGUAAAUAUUUCAAUAAAGACAAUUUAUUUACAAAAUAUAGAAAUGUGACACUGUAUUCUUGGAAAAGUUGUAUGUAAAAACUGGCCAACUGUUUGUGGUUGAAUGUUUUUCCAUUGUUGUUAAAAUUAAACCUAAACAGUGUUUGUAAAUUACAGUGUUUGUAAUGCUAGGCAGAUCUUCAAACCUGGAAGAGUUUAUAUUGCCAGUACUGUUCUAUGUUGUCAGUGUCAAAUUCAAAGUGCUAUAUAUAAAUUUUUCUAAACACACAAAUGAAUAUUUGACUUAAGUAGAACAGGUUUCAGCAGUCUUACCUCUAUCUAAAGUUAUACAAAUAAGCUUGUGACCACUGCCCUAUAUGCUGCUAACACCAUCAUUCCUCCCAGGUGUCAGGCCCCUUAUUCUCUUCCUUUUUUUGCCUAAUUUGAUUAGACCCUGCACUUUCCCGGGUCAUAGUUCAUGUUAUUUAAAUGAAAGCACUGCCUUACGAG